CAUGACUACAUAAAUGCUCCAUAGAAUUUGCCCAUGCUAAUACGUCUCUUUAAUACGAUGAGCCAAUGCGCAAGCAGCAAUGACCAUGGACAGAAGACCAAGAAACGAAAGGCGAAUGCCCAAGACAAAUCAGGGUGUAAGAGCCUUACUGACCGUCUAAGUGUGCAACCCAAGAGUACUCCAAGCCUCCAGCUGGCCUCCACGUCCUGUGACUCGUUUAUAUGCCAGGGCACCUCUCCCUUCAGCCCGCCACCUCCCCCCAACACGUGCACGGGCCUUCAGAUGGAGGAGACGGCCCACAACUUCCUGCGGACAACUGAGCACAACCUCAGCCACUCGAGCACACUCAACGCUCCAGUUCAGCCAGAACCUACCUCCCAUGUCCCCUUGUACCCUCACAGCCACCAAAUCAACCCCCAAAGCCUGAGCCACACCCUAAACCACGGGGCUCUCAGCGGGGAUAUGGACCCUCUCUUCAUCCGGGCGGCGACCGUCGUGGAGAUGGUGUGCGGGGAGAGGAUGUACAAAUGCUCGGCCUGCCUGCACUACUACACCGGCCUGGGGCCACUGGUGGAACACGUCAAGGAGGGCUGGCGGGACGGGUUCAGCUGCCGGGUCUUCUACCGUAAGCUCAAGAGCAUGUGGGACCGGCGGGUCAGCACCGAUGUCACCACUGGCAUCCAGGCGGCCACAACGGUUUCCGGAUGCACACUACCGCUGAGCGGCACCACCACCACUACCACCACCACCACCACCAUGCUGGCUGCAACGGCGACAGACAGUGUCAACAGCCACACAGUCAAGGACAAGAAGAUGGAGAGAGUGCAAGACUGGCUUGAGAAGUCUGUCAUAUUGCC
ensembl:lncRNA